UCUUUACCUAAACGUCGCGCCCGGAGAACAGUACGUGCCUUGGUCCGGGUGAUGUGAGGGGCCGCAGGUAGUCUUGUCAGAAGAAUAUUCCCAAAGAGGAAUUACAGAAGGUUAGAGGUGAAUUCAACCAAGCAUUUAUGAAGCACCUACUAUGACUAGGCUGUGGGAGGUGCUUGGGGAUACAAUGACAACAAAGAAAAACAGUCCCUACCCUCGAACUUACAUCUCAGAGGGAACCACAGGAUGGCUAGCAGGGCAAGAUAUGGGAGAAUAUGUUCAGAAGUGAAGGUGAUGACUGUGAAAGCCUUGGGAGGUUUAAUCAACACAAUGACCAACAGAAUUCCAGAGAGCUCCUGAUGAAACAUACUACUCGCCUCUUGACAGAGAGGACCCUGCAUUCAGCAGAGGGAAACAUAACCAAAUGUGAGCUACUCAAGCAAAAUUUUGGCAGGAGCUGCUUCAUUUAUGACAUGUGGUCUAUCGACUAGAGAAGUGAAAGGCAUGUCACCGUCUGGUUUGUCCACUGAAGCAUAUUAUCAUCAAGGUGGCGUGUCAUACGAGAAAAGCAACCUGUAGAGGGGUUUUCUUUUCAUAGGCCCACCACAUGCUGAGCAAUACAGUGACCCUAAAUGCAAAGUACGACAAUACUUAAGGAAAACAAGCAGUGUCGCUGUAGUUCCAUAUGGAGUUUCCUAAAGAUUUUAGAAAGAGAAAGCGUCAGAGAGAUCACCUAGCCUUACCUGCUCAUUUCACAGACAAGAAAGCUGAGGACUUGAGAAGGGGAGGUAAGCUGUCUAAGGAUACUUGGGGGGUUAGUAAGUAGAAAAGACAGGAUUGAUCUCUGGUCUUCAAAUUCCAAAUCCUUCUUUCUUGGACUCCACAUGGUCUUUCUCUAAAGAGAUUACAAAAGACAUCAGAAGUAUCCCUCUUAUAUUCUGAAUCUUUCCUGCCCCUUUCCAAUUUUCUCUUCUCCUUUAAACCUCCCCUGCCUGAGCCUCACCUGGAGAAAAAAAGGCUGAGACUAAAUGAUCUAGAGCCCCUUCCAGCUGUCUACCCUGUGACCUUUCUAGUUCUGCGGGGGCCCCCCCUACCCCCACACCCGCCCAAGGAAAACGGUAGAGUCACAGUGGAGGUGGUGGGAGUUAAUGGAGUUAAAGCACUCAUUCCAGUUCCUCAGUGGUUGGUUUGUCAGGCCUCAAACUCUGGGUAGGGCAUAUGUGUGGCAGAGAAAUUGUUUGCAUAGGUGUCCUCAAAUCAUUCCUAAAACAGACUCCUCAUCACCCCUUACUGUCCUUGUUAUUCUCUCAUUUCAGAAGUCUCAGUUCUACAAGGAGUCAGCACUGAUAAGGUAGAGUCUGUAAUGACUUCUAAGUAGCUACAAGCUAUUUAGCUACAAGCUGGAAUUCCCUACCAGGGAUGGGGAACUUAUAGCCUCGAGGCCACAGGUCACAGGUUCCCCACCCCUAACCCAUUCAGCCCCUGACUACUCUUUGCUCCUUCCCUAGACUGCUCCAUUAUUGUCUAUUCUUGGUGUUAAUGAAUGAAAUUAAAGGCACAGCACAAAAUAAUGAAAAAAAAAUCCUUGGUUUGGAAUCCACAAAUAUGAGCUUGAGACCUCUGUGGUGCCACUUAUGUGUGAUCUUAGCUUAUCUUAUAAGAAGGAAAUCGUAUCCUUUCUGAGACUCAUAUUCCUCAUCUGUCAAAAUGGGAAUAAUACCAAACCUUCCUCCCACACAGGGUUGUUAUGAGGAUUAAAUGAACAUACAGACACCUGUAUAAAGUGUGUGUAUAUAAAUGCAUGAGUAUAUUAGCACGUGGAUACACUAGAGCACACACUUAUAUAUACACCCAUGUGUACAUAAGUAUGUGGAUACACUAGCCCAGAGUCUGGCAACUCUCCCCAGUCCCCCUGGAAUCAGACUAAAAUGGAAUUGGGAAAUAUUUAACAAAAUAAAUAAAAAUACAAUAGAACACAAAUAA